UACGAAGGGUGCAAGCGUUGUUCGGAAUUAUUGGGCGUAAAGGGUUCGUAGGUGGGAAGGUAAGUCGAGUGUGAAAUCCCUGAGCUUAACUCAGGACGUGCACCCGAAACUGCUUUUCUUGAGUGUUGGAGAGGGUCGUAGAAUUGCUGGUGUAGGAGUGAAAUCCGUAGAUAUCAGCAGGAAUACCAGAGGCGAAGGCGGCGACCUGGCCAAACACUGACACUGAGGAACGAAAGCGUGGGGAGCAAACAGG
rnacentral:rRNA from 1 species